AAGACUAUGCUUUCAGGGGUCACUUCUAUAGUUCAUUACUAGAGAAGUUUCUCUGACCAUGUAGACUAGGGGAAACCACAAGGAGGAGGCAUAGCAUUCUCUCCUGAGCGUGAAGCCGGCUCUUGGUGUUGCUUUGCAACAACUGCCACUUGCCAUGGAUCAUUGUUCCUGCUCUCCUUGGCAGGGGAUGGGGAGUGUGGGGGGGGGGUCGCUGGAGGGAUAUGACGCAGUCUGAGUGGC
rnacentral:snoRNA from 1 species